ACGAACGCUGGCGGCGUGCUUAACACAUGCAAGUCGAGCGGUAAGGCCCUUUCGGGGGUACGACGAGCGGCGAACGGGUGAGUAACACGUGGGUGACCUGCCCUCAGCUCUGGGAGUAAGCCUGGGAAACCGGGUACUAAUACUGGAUAUGACUCCAUGACGCAUGUUGUGGGGUGGAAAGCCUUGUGCGGCUGAGGAUGGGCCCGCGGCCUAUCAGCUUGUUGGUGGGGUGAUGGCCUACCAAGGCGACGACGGUAGCCGGCCUGAGAGGGCGACCGGCCACACUGGGACUGAGACACGGCCCAGACUCCUACGGGAGGCAGCAGUGGGGAAUCUUGCGCAAUGGGCGAAANCCUGACGCAGCGACGCCGCGUGA
rnacentral:rRNA from 1 species